AGCAUGCAAGUCUCAGUACGAGCUGACUUAAAGUGAAACCGCAAAAGGCUCAGUAAACCGGUCAUAGUUUACCGGAUAAAUGCCACUCACGUGGAUAACUGUGGUAAUUCUAGAGCUAAUACAUGCAAACAAGUCCCGACCAGCGAUGGAGAGGACGCUUUUAUUUGAUCAAAACCAUUCGCCCGGCUUGUCCGGGCGUCGGCUUGAUGACUCUGGAUAACACCACAGAUCGCACGGUCACAGUACCGGUGACAUAUCCUUCAAAUGUCUGACUUAUCAGCUGUCGAUGGUAGACUCUGUGUCUACCAUGGCGCUCACGGGUGACGGGGAAUCAGGGUUCGAUUCCGGAGAGGGAGCCUGAGAAACGGCUACCACAUCCAAGGAAGGCAGCAGGCACGCAAAUUACCCACUCCCGGCACGGGGAGGUAGUGACAAAAAAUAACGAUACGGGACUCAUCCGAGGCCCCGUAAUCGGAAUGAGAACACUCUAAAUCCUUUAACGAUGAUCUAUUGGAGGGCAAGCCUGGUGCCAGCAGCCGCGGUAAUUCCAGCUCCAAUAGCGUAUAUUAAAGUUGUUGCGGUUAAAAAGCUCGUAGUUGGUUCUGCGUGCCACGCUGUCGGUUCACCGCCUGCCGGUGCAACUGGCAUGCCGUGGCAUGUCCUGUCGGUGGCGGAUAGGCCUCCCGGCGUGCCCUAUGCGGUAUACCAGCGUGUAGGCUGCUGCGCCGGGGGUGUCCUUGUACGCCGACUCAAUCCUACCGCGGUGCUCUUUACCGAGUGUCGAGGUAGGCCGACACUGUUUACUUUGAACAAAUUAGAGUGCUUCAAGCAGGCUCUUAAAUCAGCCUGAAUAGUGGUGCAUGGAAUAAUGGAACAGGACCUUGGUUCUAUUUUGUUGGUUUCCGGAAUCCAAGGUAAUGAUCAAUAAGGACAGGCGGGGGCAUUCGUAUUGCGACGUUAGAGGUGAAAUUCUUGG
rnacentral:rRNA from 1 species